UCUUAUAGAACCGGAGACUACCAGCCCAC
rnacentral:piRNA from 1 species